rnacentral:rRNA from 1 species
UACGUAGGGAGCAAGCGUUGUUCGGAUUUACUGGGCGUAAAGGGCGCGUAGGCGGCAAAUUAAGUCAGCUGUGAAAUCUCCGAGCUUAACUCGGAACUGUCAGCUGAUACUGAUCUGCUAGAGUGCGGAAGGGGCAAUCGGAAUUCUUGGUGUAGCGGUGAAAUGCGUAGAGAUCCGGAGGAACACCAGUGGCGAAGGCGGCUCGCUGGGCUCUACCUGACGCUGAGGCGCGAAAGCGCGGGGAGCGAACAGG